rnacentral:rRNA from 1 species
GAAUUGUUCGCAGUGGGCGCAAGCCUGACGACGCAACGCCGCGUGGAGGAUGAAGAUCUUCGGGUCGUAAACUCCUUUCGAUCGAGACGAACGGCCUCCGGGUGAACAAUCCGGGGGAGUGACGGUACCGAGCGAAGAAGCCCCGGCUCACUCCGUGCCAGCAGCCGCGGUAAUACGGGGGGGGCAAGCGUUGUUCGGAAUUACUGGGCGUAAAGGGCUCGUAGGUGGCCAACUAAGUCGGACGUGAAAUCCCUCGGCUUAACCGGGGAACUGCGUCCGAUACUGGAUGGCUUGAGUUUGGGAGAGGGACGCGGAAUUCCAGGUGUAGCGGUGAAAUGCGUAGAUAUCUGGAGGAACACCGGUGGCGAAGGCGGCGUCCUGGACCAACACUGACACUGAUGAGCGAAAGCCAGGGGAGCAAACGGG